UGAAGGACGUGCUAAUCUGCGAAAAGCGUCGGUAAGGUGAUAUGAACCGUUACAGCCGGCGAUGUCCGAAUGGGGAAACCCAGUGUGAUUCGUCACACUAUCGUUAACUGAAUACAUAGGUUAACGAGGCGAACCGGGGGAACUGAAACAUCUAAGUACCCCGAGGAAAAGAAAUCAACCGAGAUUCCCCCAGUAGCGGCGAGCGAACGGGGAGCAGCCCAGAGUCUGAAUCAGCUUGUGUGUUAGUGGAACGGUCUGGAAAGUCCGACGGUACAGGGUGAUAGUCCCGUACACCAAAAUGCACAGGCUGUGAACUCGAAGAGUAGGGCGGGACACGUGGUAUCCUGUCUGAAUAUGGGGGGACCAUCCUCCAAGGCUAAAUACUCCUGACUGACCGAUAGUGAACCAGUACCGUGAGGGAAAGGCGAAAAGAACCCCGGCGAGGGGAGUGAAAAAGAACCUGAAACCGUGUACGUACAAGCAGUGGGAGCACCUUCGGGUGUGACUGCGUACCUUUUGUAUAAUGGGUCAGCGACUUAUAUUCUGUAGCAAGGUUAACCGUAUAGGGGAGCCGCAGGGAAACCGAGUCUUAACUGGGCGUUAAGUUGCAGGGUAUAGACCCGAAACCCGGUGAUCUAGCCAUGGGCAGGUUGAAGGUUGGGUAACACUAACUGGAGGACCGAACCGACUAAUGUUGAAAAAUUAGCGGAUGACUUGUGGCUGGGGGUGAAAGGCCAAUCAAACCGGGAGAUAGCUGGUUCUCCCCGAAAGCU
rnacentral:rRNA from 1 species